GGUGAACGCUGGCGGCGUGCCUAACACAUGCAAGUCGAGCGGUGCAGUUUGAAGCUUCGGUGGAAAGCUGCAUAGCGGCGGACGGGUGAGGAAAACGUAGGAACGUGCCCCUUGGAGUUGGAUAGCCACGGGAAACUGUGGGUAAACCGACAUAGACUCGAGAGAGUAAAGGCCGAAAGGCGCCAAGGGAGCGGCCUGCGGCCCAUCAGGUAGUUGGUAGUGUAAAGGACUACCAAGCCGACGACGGGUAGCCGGUCUGAGAGGAUGGCCGGCCACAAGGGCACUGAGAGACGGGCCCUACUCCUACGGGAGGCAGCAGUGGGGGAUUUUGGACAAUGGGCGAAAGGGCCUGAUCCAGCGACGCCGCGUGAACGAUGAAUCCCUUCGGGGUGUAAAGUUCUUUUAUAUGUGAGCAGUGCUUCUUAUAUUAACAGUAUGGGGAGAGAGAUAUUAGCAUAUGAAUAAGCAACGGCUAACUCCGUG
rnacentral:rRNA from 1 species